rnacentral:rRNA from 1 species
CGCGUAGGUGGUAGUGCAAGUCUGGGGUGGAAUCCCAGGGCUUAACCCUGGAACUGCCUUGGAAACUGUAUUACUUGAGUCAGUGAGGGGAGGGUAGAAUUCCUGGUGUAGCGGUGAAAUGCGUAGAUAUCAGGAGGAAGGCCUGUGGCGAAGGCGGCCCUCUGGCGCUGAACUGACACUGAGGCGCGAAAGCGUGGGGAGCAAACAGGAUUAGAUACCCUGGUAGUCCACGCCCUAAACGGUGGGUACUAGGUGUAGGGCGUCGUAAGGGUUCGUGUGCCGAAGCGAAAGCAUUAAGUACCCGCCUGGGGAGGUACGGCCGCAAGGUUGAA